rnacentral:rRNA from 1 species
UACGGAGGGUGCGAGCGUUGUCCGGAAUCACUGGGCGUAAAGGGCGCGUAGGCGGCUUCUCAAGCGUGUGGUGAAAGUCCGGGGCUCAACCCCGGAUCGGCCGUGCGGACUGGGGAGCUCGAGUUCUGUAGAGGCGGGUGGAAUUCCGGGUGUAGCGGUGGAAUGCGUAGAGAUCCGGAAGAACACCGGUGGCGAAGGCGGCCCGCUGGGCAGAGACUGACGGCUGAGGCGCGGACAGCGUGGGGAGCAAACGAGG